GUUGCUUUUUUGAACUUUAGAGUCUUUGCUGCCCAUGUUUUCAAGCUUAUCCUGUUCUUUCUAGCACAACAGUUACAAAAUCAAAUGCUUGACAGCCAAAAAUCCCACUGAACUUUCCUCAUAGGCUUCUGGAAUUUUAUAGUUAAGUCAAAGCAACUUAUUUGCACUAUAGGUGAUUGUGUGUUGCUAUGGGCUCUUCUGUGGUCUUUUAGAGUACCUCACCCUGCAGCAAGCCCUAUGCAAGCAGCUACCAGCAGCAGCGUGGGGCUGUCUUGAUUUAGAUGUCAUUCUCAAUUGCAUGCAAAAUGUUUUUGCAGAGCAGCUCUUUGCACUUGGCUGGGUCCUUGAAGAGUAUGUUUGCUGCAGCGCAGGAGAAAUAUUUACUGUGGUUUAAUCCUUGUUGUUGAAGCCCAUGUGAUGUUUUCCAGGUGCACACAGUGUGAUGUGUUCAAGGUGUGCUCAGGUGCUGGGCCAGUCUGACCCAAAACAGAGGUGUUUCCUUCAAAGCACUGCAUUUACACAGUAAGGAAACUUUCUGGACAUCUGUAUUAAGAGCUUUGCUGCCAGUAGAAGGGAGAUUUCCCAGUGCUCUCAAAUCCAUUUGCUCCGGAAGGCUGUCUUUAAAGCCAAUGCACUCCAGUGGGAGCUUAGGUAGGAUCUGGUUUGUAAGCUUGAUCAAAGGGUCCCAGAAUUUGCCCUCUGAUUUCCAAAAAGCUCUGGAUUUGCUGGUUAGUGAAUUUGCCUGAAUGGUAAAGGACCAAGGGUGUUCCUUACAGCAAAUCUGGAGUCAUUUUCAUUGGGAGACUUGUCAUCUGCAGGCUCAUCCAAGCAGUAGCUGGUUUUUACACUGAGAAGUCUCUUUGCUACUGUGGUGAGGUUGUCUUAAGUUGUUAUUGCAGUUGCUAAGGCCUUUAGGCAGGCAAAGGACAGGAAUAUGCUUCAAAUGCUUCUCAGAUCAGUCUGAUCCAGCUGAAUUCAUGUCCCUGGCAAGCUCUGCAUCAUCCAAUAAUACCCUAACAAGUUGAAAGAGUCACUUCACAUCCUUGUGGCCCUCCCUGAAUGCAAAAGCCUGGCUGUUAAAUGAGUGUUACCUCUUCUGUUCAUCUUUGUAAUGAAUUCCGGAGCCUGGCUCCCAUUCCCUGUCCCCUCCUCAGUAAUUCCCUGCAGAACGUGAAGGAAACCUGCUGGUGAUGCCUGUUCUCCUGUUUUCCUUCCGAAGUUUAUCCUUUAUCUAGUAUUAUUUGGACCUAUUUGCUUUCUCUUACAGUGGUUGUAGAAACAAUGCUUAACAAAAUGGGAUUGAAUUUAAUAAAGGGCAAGUGCCACACAGCAAAGCCCAUUAAAGGUGUGAUUAAGACUAAAAGACAAGUCAGUAUUCCUGCAGCACCUGCUGGGGGUUUAUCUCCUUGUCAGCUAUUAAAGGAAACCUGGUUAAAGACUGAAUGUAGCUUGAUAACAUAAAUCCACACUAAA